CUAGUAAUGGCAGGUCAGCAUACUGCCGUGAAUACGUUCCCGGGCCUUGUACACACCGCCCGUCACACCAUGAGAGUUGGGAAUACCCGAAGCCUGUGAGCUAACUUAACGAGGCAGCAGUCGAAGGUAGAAUCAAUGAUUGGGGUGAAGUCGUAACAAGGUAGC
rnacentral:rRNA from 1 species